rnacentral:misc_RNA from 1 species
UCCGGCUUAUCACCGGCAGUCCCUUUAGAGUGCCCAACCAAAUGCUGGCAACUAAUGGCAAGGGUUGCGCUCGUUGCGGGACUUAACCCAACAUCUCAUGACACGAGCUGACGACAGCCAUGCAGCACCUGUCACCGGUCCAGCCGAACUGAAGGGGUCGAUCUCUCGUCCCCGCGACCGGGAUGUCAAGGGUAGGUAAGGUUCUGCGCGUUGCUUCGAAUUAAACCACAUGCUCCACCGCUUGUGCGGGCCCCCGUCAAUUCCUUUAAGUUUUAAUCUUGCGACCGUACUCCCCAGGCGGGGUGCUUAAUGCGUUAGCUGCGCCACCAACGAGCAAGCUCGCUGACGGCUAGCACCCAUAGUUUACGGCGUGGACUAC